rnacentral:rRNA from 1 species
CCUACGGGUGGCAGCAGUGGGGAAUAUUGGACAAUGGGGGGAACCCUGAUCCAGCCAUGCCGCGUGUGUGAAGAAGGCCCUCGGGUUGUAAAGCACUUUCAGUGAGGAAGAACGCCUGGUGGUUAAUACCUAUCAGGAAAGACAUCACUCACAGAAGAAGCACCGGCUAACUCCGUGCCAGCAGCCGCGGUAAUACGGAGGGUGCGAGCGUUAAUCGGAAUUACUGGGCGUAAAGCGCGCGUAGGUGGCUUGAUAAGCCGGUUGUGAAAGCCCCGGGCUCAACCUGGGAACGGCAUCCGGAACUGUCAAGCUAGAGUGCAGGAGAGGAAGGUAGAAUUCCCGGUGUAGCGGUGAAAUGCGUAGAGAUCGGGAGGAAUACCAGUGGCGAAGGCGGCCUUCUGGACUGACACUGACACUGAGGUGCGAAAGCGUGGGUAGCAAACAGGAUUAGAUACCCCGGUAGUC